rnacentral:rRNA from 1 species
CAGCCGCCGCGGUAAUACGUAGGGUGCGAGCGUUAAUCGGAUUUACUGGGCGUAAAGCGUGCGCAGGCGGCCCGUUAAGACAGGUGUGAAAUCCCUGGGCUCAACCUAGGAAUUGCGCUUGUGACUAGCGGGCUCGAGUACGGUAGAGGGGGGUGGAAUUCCUGGUGUAGCAGUGAAAUGCGUAGAGAUCAGGAGGAACACCGAUGGCGAAGGCAGCCCCCUGGGCCUGUACUGACGCUCAUGCACGAAAGCGUGGGGAGCAAACAGGAUUAGAUACCCUGGUAGUCCACGCCCUAAACGAUGGGUACUAGCCGUUUGGUGCGCGAUAGCGCUGAGUGGCGAAGCUAACGCGUGAAGUACCCCGCCUGGGGAGUACGGCCGCAAGGUUGAAACUUAAAGGAAUUGGCGGG